rnacentral:lncRNA from 1 species
UUGAAGUUAGAGGGUUUUUUGUUUUGUUUUUUUUUAGAUUUUAUUUAUUUAUUCAUGAGAGACACACAGAGAGAGGCAGAGACACAGGAAGAGGGAGAAGCAGGCUCCUCACAGGAAGCUCAAUGCAGGACUCACUCCCUGGACCUGGGAUCACGCCUUGAGCCAAAGGCAGACACUUAACCGACUGAGCCACCCAGGUGCCCCAAUAACACUUUAUCGUAAUAGAUGGUAGGACAGAUUUGCCCCACAGGCAGUGUUUUGACACUCUUUGGACUAGAGGUCACAGUUGAGCAUUUUCAAAGGCUUGAAGGCCAGUGUGAUCAGAAUAAAGGUGAGAGAGGAGAGAGAUGAGGUUACAAGGAUAAGUCAGGGUCAGAUCACAGAAACUUGUAGACCACAAGGAGGAUUUGAUGGAUUCUCUCUCACUCAUUCACUCACCAAACAUUCAUCAGGGACCCACGAGCCACCCAGGUGCCCAUCCCUGGGUGAUUUUUAAGAAUGAUAAAGUCUGGGCAGCCCCGGUGGCUCAGCGGUUUAGCGUCACCUUCAGUCCAGGGUGUGAUCCUGGAGACCUGGCAUCGAGUUGCAGGUCGGGCUCCCUGCAUGGAGCCUACUUCUCCCCCUGCCUGUGUUUGUCUGUUUGUCUGUGUGUGUGUGUGUGUGUGUGUGUGUCUCAUGAAUAAAUAAAUAAAUCUUAAAAAAAAGAAAGAAUGAUAAAGUCUGAGACCUACUGCCCUAAAACAUUUACUCCUGUGGGGUAAAGGUCUUAAUGAAGGCAAAGCUUAAGACAAACAUAAAAACAAUUUUGACAAAAGAAGUAGAAACAGAAUUAUUUUCAAUGUACAAAGUUUUCAAAUUAUGACAUAAAAAGAAAACAGACCUAGUACAGAACAAUAUAGGUUUUCAAAGAUCCUGAGAGAAUGAUUGAGAGGAGCAAGAAGAGCACAAGGUUAACCUGAACCACGAGCAAAUCCAGCACGCCCACUAACCAGCUAUGUGCCUUGUAGCAAACUGCUUAACCAGAGUCUGACUUUCUUCAUUAACAGGUUAAAAUAAUAAGUUCCUUGACCUGUACCCUAUGACAGUUGUGAAAAUCAAAUGGGAUAACGUAUGCAACAAUGCUUUGUAUGGAAGGAUAACAUCGUGAUCAAGUUUCAUUUUCUGCUGUAACUCUUUUUUUUUUUUAAGAUUUUAUUUAUUUAUUCAUGACAGACAUAGAGAGAAAGAGAGAGGCAGAGACACAGGCAGAGGGAGAAGCAGGCUCCAUGCCGAUAGCCUGAUGCAGGACUUGAUCCCUGGACUCCAGGAUCAUGCCCUGGGCCGAAGGCAGGCGCAAAACUGCCGAGCCACCCAGGGAUCCCUUGCCGUAACUCUUUACAACAGAAUAUAUGCAUCUUCCCUUCUACUCAGGAAAUGGGUAGGAUUUUGAAUCUUGUAGUGACUUUUAGUGUAGGUUGCUAGAGAUACACAGCUUCGAUGAGGGUUGUUCUGGGCUUGACAAGAGGGAACAGAGGGAAGUGGCCUCAUCUGCCAGAGCUUUGGCAGAUGGUGGCAGGGAUACCAUUAAUAUCCCUGAACUCAUCUGUAGCUUUAUAAUGUCUCCUCCCCACAGAAAGUUUAAUUAAAACAUACAAUAUCAGGGCACCCAGGUGGCUCAGUUGGUUAAGCCUCUGCCUUCAGCUCCAGUCAUGAUCUCAGGGUUCUGGGAUCAAGCCCCACAUGAGGCUCUCUGCUCAGCAGGGAGUCUGCUUCUCCCUCUCCCUGUGCCCUUCCCCUUCCCCCUGCUCUCAUGUGCAAGCGCUCUCUCUCUCUCUCAAAUAUGUAAAUAAAAUCUUAAAAAAAAAAAAAGACCUAUAAUAGCUGAGGCCAAUGUACAGUCUUGAACAUUCUUACUGCCUAGCAGCUGCUGUUGUAUGGGCUCUUUACAGUAGCUUCUGUGCUGAUUGGUCAAUGUUUGUGCCACACAGGUUGUUAUCUUUCAGUAACACCUCUGGUGAUACCCCAUAAUUAAAAGGAGUGUUAUCUGAAGCUCAUUUCAAACAGAAGCAAUUCCCCUAUCUCUGGGAUGGUUUAAUGGGUUCCUAUCGUGCUUCACCAGGCCUGCACAUUCCUCGGAACUUUGAUCUCAUCGCAUACUCCUAAACUUAAUGACAAAUAGUUUUAGCAUGUUCAUUCAUCACAACAGCACAAUUUACAAUUUAUUCUGUUUCAAGUACAUUUCUCCUGCUGAGGAAGACAUGAGCUACUAUUCUGGAAGAACUCCCAUGCCAGUGUGGAUAAGAAUUCUAUUUCUAGACUGGGGUUUCCUUAUUCAUUUCACGUAGCUAAGACAUCCCAGGCCACCACAGUCUUUAUUUCCCACUUUUUUCCAUUGCUAUUUUCUCCCCUCAACUAGGGACAGAAUAGGUAGACUUCCUAUCUAAUAUUCAUUUUUUUUUCCUCUUAGCUUGUCUCUCUUGGAUUAAAAGUGACUUUCAGAUAAAUUUGUACCAUUUAUUUUAUUUUAAAGAUUUUAUUUAUUUAUUCAUGGGAGACACAGAGAGAAGCAGAGACACAGGCAGAAGGAGAAGCAGGCUCCCUGCAGGGAGCCCCAUGUGGGGCUUGAUUCCAGGACCCCAGGAUCAAGCUCUGAGCCAAAGGCAGACGCUCAACCGCUGAGCCACCCAGGCAUCCCAAAUGUGUAUCAUUUUUUUAAAAAGAUUUUAUUUAUUUAUUCAUGAGAGACCCAGAGAGAGAGAGAGAGGCAGAGACACAUGCAGAGGGAGAAGCAGUCUACAUGCAGGGAGCCCGAGGCGGGACUCGAUCCGGGGACUCCAGGAUCACGCCCUGGUCUGAAGGCAGGUGCUAAACCGCUAAGCCACCCAGGGAUCCCCAAAUGUGUAUCAUUUAAGAGAGGGAGCUAGUACCAGGAGAACUUAAAGGCCUCUCAUAAGAAUAUAAAACAUAUUCAUUAUAUUCCUUACUUGAAUUGACUUUAAACCAUGUAGUAGACUCAUAAGCCUUACAAUCUUUACCUCCAAAUGAUAGGUGCAAAACACCAUUAUUUUUCUAGCAUGCAUAAUUUUUCAUUGAAACCGAAAUGUUCAAAGUGACCACUAGCUGUACCAGUUGAGGUGUGAUAGGACACCUCAUACCCUAAAUUGCAAAAAUUAAAGGAUUUCUAGCUCUACUCAAAGUGAUCCAUGCAGUCUAAAGAGCAGCCCAACAUUCUCUCUCACUAGGGAUGACUUGGCUUAGCACAUCUAGGAACUGUUUAACAGAAACCCCAAAUUUUAGAGAUAGUCCAUUAAAGCAGAUACAACCAGGGCAGGAAUGGUGACUGAUUUUCUUUUCAGGUACUCUACAUAAAUCACAUUCUUGGUUAAAUACCUUCAUUCCACCAGCAACCCCCAAUUCUUUUCCCCAAAAAACAGCAAAAAAACAAAAACAAAAAACAAAAAAAAAAAAAAAAAAAAACCCAGAGGAUUUACACCCUUGUUACUCAAGGCAUGGUUCACGGACUAACAGAUCUGAGAUUGCCUGCAAACUUGUCAGAAAUGCAGUCUCGGGCCCAAACCAGGGCCACAGAAUUCUGCUGCUUUUUAACUAAAUGUCCAAGUGAUUCAUAUUCACAAUGGAGUAUGAGAAGUACUGGCUUAAGUGACAGGUUUGUUAAGAAGCAUACCAAAAACGAAUCAAGAUUCUCUACUCAGAACACUUGAAAAAAUAAAAACAGACAACUCACUUCAGUUAGGACGUGUGAUGAAGCAGCCCCAGCCUUGGAAGAGAGGCAGUGGCGAUAUGGAGAAGACUUCUACCCUUGUACGUUUUCCUAUAGAGACUUCUGCCCAAGAUCCAUGUCCCUUAAAGUUCCAGGAGCUUCCCUUUGCCAGCCCUCGGGGGCAAGGGAAAGAAUCAGAGGAAAUGCAGCGGCCCCUCAGCGUGGUCCUGCAAUGACCAGGAAGACUGAGGCUUUCCAAAUACACUAGCCUGGAGGAAAUGGGCAGGGUGCAGUCGAGGCUUCUCCUAUCGCCCUGAGUUCCUUUCUUCUCCACCAGGAGCCGGGUACUACCCACAUUUCUUUCUCAAACACUGAGAUUCAAAGCGACGACCUAAUGCCUCCAAUCAGCCUGGGAGCCUUUUCCAGCGUUCCUGGCAAGAGGAUGGGAAAGAGAGAAAAUGC